rnacentral:rRNA from 1 species
GGGGGAUAACGUUCGGAAACGGACGCUAAUGCCGCAUACGUCCUACGGGAGAAAGCAGGGGACCUUCGGGCCUUGCGCUAUCAGAUGAGCCUAGGUCGGAUUAGCUAGUUGGUGGGGUAAUGGCUCACCAAGGCGACGAUCCGUAACUGGUCUGAGAGGGUGAUCAGUCACACUGGAACUGAGACACGGUCCAGACUCCUACGGGAGGCAGCAGUGGGGAAUAUUGGACAAUGGGCGAAAGCCUGAUCCAGCCAUGCCGCGUGUGUGAAGAAGGUCUUCGGAUUGUAAAGCACUUUAAGUUGGGAGGAAGGGUUGUAGAUUAAUACUCUGCAAUUUUGACGUUACCGACAGAAUAAGCACCGGCUAACUCUGUGCCAGCAGCCGCGGUAAUACAGAGGGUGCAAGCGUUAAUCGGAAUUACUGGGCGUAAAGCGCGCGUA